rnacentral:rRNA from 1 species
AUACGAGGGGUGCAAGCGUUGUUCGGAAUUACUGGGCGUAAAGGGAGCGUAGGCGGAGAUUCAAGCGGAUUGUACAAUCCCGGGGCCCAACCCCGGCUCUGCAGUCCGAACUGGAUCUCUUGGAUAGUUCAGGGGCAGGCGGAAUUCCUGGUGGAGCGGUGGAAUGCGUAGAGAUCAGGAAGAACACCGAUGGCGAAGGCAGCCUGCUGGGGACUUAUCGACGCUGAGGCUCGAAAGUGCGGGUAGCAAACAGGAUUAGAUACCCUGGUAGUCCGCACCGUAAACGAUGCAUACUGGGUGUCCGGGGGUUCCCCCGGGUACCGUAGCCAACGCGUUAAGUAUGCCGCCUGGGGAGUACGUACGCAAGUAUGAAACUCAAAGGAAUUGACGGGG